rnacentral:rRNA from 1 species
GACGAACGCUGGCGGCGUGCCUAAUACAUGCAAGUAGAACGCACAGUUUAUACCGUAGCUUGCUACACCAUAGACUGUGAGUUGCGAACGGGUGAGUAACGCGUAGGUAACCUGCCUGGUAGCGGGGGAUAACUAUUGGAAACGAUAGCUAAUACCGCAUAAUAUUAAUUAUUGCAUGAUAAUUGAUUGAAAGGUGCAAAUGCUUCACUACCACAUGGACCUGCGUUGUAUUAGCUAGUAGGUGAGGUAACGGCUCACCUAGGCGACGAUACAUAGCCGACCUGUUAGGGCGAUCUGUCUCUCUGGAAUUGAGACACCCUUCU